UACGGGGGGGGCAAGCGUUGUUCGGAAUUACUGGGCGUAAAGCGCGUGUAGGCGGCCCGGAAAGUCGGAUGUGAAAGCCCUGGGCUUAACCUAGGAAGUGCAUUCGAAACUCCCGGGCUUGAGUUCUGGAGAGGAAGGCGGAAUUCUCGGUGUAGAGGUGAAAUUCGUAGAUAUCGAGAGGAACACCGGUGGCGAAGGCGGCCUUCUGGACAGUGACUGACGCUGAGACGCGAAAGCGUGGGGAGCAAACAGG
rnacentral:rRNA from 1 species